rnacentral:rRNA from 1 species
GACGAGGGGUCCAAGCGUUGUUCGGAAUCAUUGGGCGUAAAGGGAGUGUAGGCUGUUAAGUAAGUCUUCUGUGAAAUCUACGGGCUUACCCCGUAACGUGCAGAGGAAACUGCUUAGCUUGAGUGUCGGAGAGGAUAGGGGAAUACCCGGUGUAGAGGUGAAAUUCGUAGAUAUUCGGAAGAACACCAGUGGCGAAGGCGGCUCACUGGACCGGUAUUGACGCUGAGGUGCGAAAGCGUGGGGAGCAAACAGG